AUUGAACGCUGGCGGCAGGCCUAACACAUGCAAAUCGAACGAGUGUCAGACGGGUGAGUAAUGUCUGGGAAACUGCCUGAUGGAGGGGGAUAAAUACUGGAAACGGUAGAUAAUACCGCAUAACAUCAGUUGUGCCCAGAUGGGAUUAGCUUGUGGGUGGGGAAACGGCUCACCAAGGCGACGCUCCCUAGCUGGUCUGAGAGGAUGACGAGCCACACGGGAACUGGGACACGGUCCAGACUCCUACGGGAGGCAGCAGUGGGAAAUAUUGCACAAGGGGCGCAAGCCUGAGGCAGCCAGGCCGCGUGUAUGAAGAAGGCCUUCGGGUUGUAAAGUACGUUCAGCGGGGAGGCGUUACCCGCAGAAGAAGCACCGGCUAACUCCGUGCCAGCAGCCGCGGUAAUAC
rnacentral:rRNA from 1 species